rnacentral:lncRNA from 1 species
AACAGUUUUAACUUUUUUUUCUUAAAGAAAUAUAAGAAAAUAAAUAUAUACAGUCUUCCCCAACCAAAAUUUAAAGCAUGUAAAUUUUGAUGAGAGUAUGUAUAUUUAUCAGCUAUUGUAUUUAGAAAAAGAGGAGAAUGAAAUAGGUAUAUUUUAGGAUAUAAAAUCUGUUUUAUGCUUGUAAGAAAAAGUUUGUUUUUACACAGUGUAUUAAAAUCGUUGAUAUGUAUUUAGCAAAAAAAGAAUUGGAACUUAGAAAAGCGGCAAUAAAGCAGCAGAUUGCUCGCAAAAGAGAGGAGCUUGCUAAAAGAAAGGAAAUUCUUGGGACAGCCAAUUUGACUGUAGCUGUUGAAAAACACAUUUUACUAACGUACUCAGAUGUUUGUGCUAAAAUAAAAGAGCAUGAGUUAUCGCACACAGUGCAUUAUGUUGUAUCUCACACUGGAAACAUGGAAUAAAAAUUUGAAGAACUCUUGAAGAAGAAUCACAGAGUGUUUUUUGAGGAUAAUGAUUUCCCCCACAUUGGGGUUCCAUUCAUUUUUUCAGCGCAUACUUGUCUUGACUGUCAACAAGGAAUAGACAGGAAUAUUAAAGCAAAAGAAAAGUACAGAAAAAAGAAAAACGAUGCAGCAGCUAAAGAUCAUUAUUACCAAAAUAACAAAGUUAUUCUCCAGGAUACCAAAAAAUUUGAUUGUCCAGCCGUGAUUCAUAUAAAAGAAAUAGUUGAAUUUCCAGAGUUUAAGCUCACUAGAGAUACAACAUGGUCAAGAAAUGAAAUGUCGAAAAAGCUUCGAAUAGCUAUUUCUACCCAAGGAAAUUUUAUUAUGUGUAGAAAGUACAUUUUAGUAUUGCCAGGUGUUUCUGCUCAUAAAAACUAUGUGAUAGGAGAGACAGCGAGUCUUAGUUAACCCUUUUCUGAUACUCUCAUUAUUAAAAUUGGAGAGUUAGUAAAAAAGGGUGUCAACACUGUUCCAGAAAUGAGAAGACAUCUUGAUUAUUUUGUUGAAGCUGAAUUUGGUUUAAGUAAGAUUCCUCAUAAAGAAAGCGUUACUUUAGGUAUACUGACUAGGUAUGCUCUUCCUCUAUUUUUUCUAGUUGUUAAAACAAACACGGAUUACCAAGUUGUAGCAAUUUUUGUGUGUGAAAACAAAACAACUGAAGCUAUCACUGAAAUAUUGACGUGCAUUAAACAGUGCAAUCCUUUAUUUCAGCCUAAAUUUGUUUUAACUGAUUAUUCAAACGAAGAAAUAAACUCAAUUGAAUAUGUGUUUUCAGGAUGUAGUGUCCUAAUUUGCGAUUUUUACCGAGAGCAAGCUUGGGAAAGAUGGCUUUCUAAAACCAAUAAUGGCUGUUGCACUGUGAAAGAUGCAGUUAAGUUACAACUUCGCCAAAUUGCCAAUGCAAAAACAGAAGAGAUUUGCAAAGAUGCUGUGAAUGCUUUCAAAGAGACAGAAGAGCGGAAAAAUCACCCAAAACUAAGAGAAUAUUUAAAUAAUACUUGAUUAUGCAACCAAAAGAGAUAGGUGUCCAUUCCGGCAACAUUGCCUUUUGCGAAAUGUCAACACAAACAAUGGCACUGAAAGGCAAAAUCAAUCAUUUAAAUAUAGUUUCUUGGAAAGAAGAAAAAGCUCAUCUCUCACAGCUAUGUUAAGUAUUUGCAUUGAUGAACUCCUACCUCACAAUUAUGACAACUAUGUGGAUGAAAAUAGAAGAGCACACUCAUCUUAUAGAAAAUAUAGUAAUAACAUUCCUGUGUAUUUAGUAAAUCACCCAGGACCUUUAGUAAAACACUGCAUGAAAAUGAUUGAUAAACUACAAGGCAUAUCAUUGAAUGGAAUUAAUGCUGUCACCAACAGGUUGUUUUGAUCCCUCUUACGGCAAUUCUCCAUAUUUCAUAUUAGAUCCAUUGUUUGGAUGAAAAUAAUUAUUCAACUUCAUCUCAUGUUCAAGAGUCAGCUGAACUAAAAAGUUUAAAAAAUACUCCUGCCAGUGUGAUGUUGUUGCCUAGCAACAUUGCAUCUGUACCAUAUGAACAUAGUCAUUCAACUGCAUGUAGUCAUUGUAUGAAUGUAAUAGUAUGGUCUUGAUUGGCGCUCAUCUUCUAAAAACGAAUCAAAGAUCGAUUGGUUUGAAUGUUUCGAAUGCAUAAAGUAAAAGAUUAAUAAAUAUUUGUUAUUGUUUACCUGAUGACGAAGCAUCUUUUCGUUUGUAUGAUUCUAAAUAAAAGUUACACUAAUAUAUUUCAAACAUCAGUUACAAACACAUUGAAGUAAUAAGAAAAGCAACCAAAUAUAAAUUUUAUACUAGACAAUUUCCUGGUUGACUCUUGUCUUGGUCUUGAUUAGCGCUCAUCUUCUAAAAACGAAUCAAAGAUCGAUUGGUUUAAAUGUUUCAAAUGCAUACAGUAAAAAAUUAGUAAAUAUUUUUUAUUGUUUACCUGACGACGAAUCAUGUUCGUUUGUUUGAUUCUAAAUAAGUUACACUAAUAUAUUUUGAACAUCAGUUAUAAACAUAUUGAAAUAAUAAGAAAAGCAACCAAACGUAAAUGUUAUACUAGACAAUUUCCUGGUCGACUCUGGUCUUGAUUGGCAUUUAUCUUCUAAAAACAAAUGAAAGAUUGAUUGGUUUGAAUGUUUUAAAUGCAUAAAGUGUAAUGUGCCAUAAGUAAUACAAAAGAUUCCUAGAUAUAUAUGUUUUACUUGAC